ensembl:snoRNA
GCAUGGAUUUUAAUUUAUGGUAGGCCUGUCCUUCUAGGCCUCUCAUGGUGUCCCAUGCCAGAGUAAACCAUGACCCAAACCAUUUCCUGGCCUCUGUGUUCAUAGGCUGCUGGCUAAAGUGGGUCAGACAAUA